rnacentral:lncRNA from 1 species
GCGAUGGAGACGGGGCAGUUUGAGAGGACAUUGAUUGUUGCAGAUGAAGGAAGCUUCGUAGAGUAUUUAGAGGGGUGUACUGCACCUUCUUAUGAUACGAACCAAUUGCAUGCUGCAGUGGUGGAGUUGUAUUGCCACGAGGGUGCCGAGAUCAAGUAUUCCACUGUUCAGAAUUGGUAUGCAGGUGAUGAGAAUGGGAAAGGUGGUAUCUAUAAUUUUGUUACAAAGAGGGGGCUUUGUGCUGGGCCUAGAUCUAAGAUAUCAUGGACACAAGUGGAGACUGGGUCAGCCAUCACUUGGAAAUACCCAAGUGUUAUUUUAGAGGGUGAUGAAUCCGUUGGUGAGUUUUAUUCUGUGGCAUUGACCAAUAAUUAUCAGCAGGCUGACACGGGAACGAAGAUGAUACACAAGGGGAAGAAUACUAGAAGUAGG